AGCGAACGCUGGCGGCAGGCCUAACACAUGCAAGUCGAACGGACCCUUCGGGGUUAGUGGCGGACGGGUGAGUAACACGUGGGAACGUGCCUUUAGGUUCGGAAUAGCUCCUGGAAACGGGUGGUAAUGCCGAAUGUGCCCUUCGGGGGAAAGAUUUAUCGCCUUUAGAGCGGCCCGCGUCUGAUUAGCUAGUUGGGGAGGUAACGGCUCACCAAGGCGACGAUCAGUAGCUGGUCUGAGAGGAUGACCAGCCACACUGGGACUGAGACACGGCCCAGACUCCUACGGGAGGCAGCAGUGGGGAAUCUUGCGCAAUGGGCGAAAGCCUGACGCAGCCAUGCCGCGUGAACGAUGAAGGUCUUAGGAUUGUAAAAUUCUUUCACCGGGGACGAUAAUGACGGUACCCGGAGAAGAAGCCCCGGCUAACUUCGUGCCAGCAGCCACAGUAA
rnacentral:rRNA from 1 species